rnacentral:rRNA from 1 species
AAUGAACGCUGGCGGCAUGCCUAACACAUGCAAGUCGAACGAAGGCUUCGGCCUUAGUGGCGCACGGGUGCGUAACGCGUGGGAAUCUGCCCUCAGGUUCGGAAUAACAGCGAGAAAUUGCUGCUAAUACCGGAUGAUAUCGCGAGAUCAAAGAUUUAUCGCCUGAGGAUGAGCCCGCGUAGGAUUAGCUAGUUGGUGUGGUAAAGGCGCACCAAGGCGACGAUCCUUAGCUGGUCUGAGAGGAUGAUCAGCUACACUGGGACUGAGACACGGCCCAGACUCCUACGGGAGGCAGCAGUGGGGAAUAUUGGACAAUGGGCGAAAGCCUGAUCCAGCAAUGCCGCGUGAGUGAUGAAGGCCUUAGGGUUGUAAAGCUCUUUUACCCGGGAUGAUAAUGACAGUACCGGGAGAAUAAGCUCCGGCUAACUCCGUGCCAGCAGCCGCAGUAA